rnacentral:rRNA from 1 species
GUGUCAGCAGCCGCGGUAAGACGAAGGAUUCAAGCGUUGUCCGGAUUUACUGGGUUUAAAGGGUGCGUAGGCGGAAAUAUAAGUCAGUGGUGAAAUCCCGCAGCUCAACUGCGGAACUGCCAUUGAAACUGCAUUUCUUGAAUACGGUUGAGGUAGAUGGAAUGUAACAUGUAGCGGUGAAAUGCUUAGAUAUGUUACAGAACUCCGAUUGCGAAGGCAGUCUACUAAGCCGUUAUUGACGCUGAGGCACGAAAGCGUGGGGAGCAAACAGGAUUAGAUACCCCGGUAGUCC